UAUCAAUAAGCGGAGGAAAAGAAACUAACAAGGAUUCCCCUAGUAACUGCGAGUGAAGCGGGAAGAGCUCAAAUUUAAAAUCUGGUAGUCUUUGGCUGCCCGAGUUGUAAUCUAGAGAAGCGUUAUCCGCGCUGGACCGUGUAUAAGUCUCCUGGAAUGGAGCGUCAUAGAGGGUGAGAAUCCCGUCUUUGACACGGACUACCAGGGCUUUGUGAUGCGCUCUCAAAGAGUCGAGUUGUUUGGGAAUGCAGCUCUAAAUGGGUGGUAAAUUCCAUCUAAAGCUAAAUAUUGGCGAGAGACCGAUAGCGAACAAGUACCGUGAGGGAAAGAUGAAAAGAACUUUGGAAAGAGAGUUAAACAGUACGUGAAAUUGUUGAAAGGGAAACGCUUGAAGUCAGUCACGUUGGCUAGGAAUCAGCCUUGCUUUUGCUUGGUGUAUUUCCUGGUUUUAACGGGUCAGCAUCAAUUUUGACCGGUGGAAAAAGGUCGAGGGAAUGUGGCAUCUUAGGAUGUGUUAUAGCCCUUGGUCGUAUACAUCGGUUGGGAUUGAGGAACUCAGCACGCCGAAAGGUCGGGUUUUCUAACCACGUUCGUGCUUAGGAUGCUGGCAUAAUGGCUUUAAUCGACCCGUCUUGAAACACGGACCAAGGAGUCUAACAUGCCUGCGAGUGUUUGGGUGGAAAACCCGAGCGCGUAAUGAAAGUGAAAGUUGAGAUCCCUGUCGUGGGGAGCAUCGACGCCCGGACCAGACCUUUUGUGACGGAUCCGCGGUAGAGCAUGUAUGUUGGGACCCGAAAGAUGGUGAACUAUGCCUGAAUAGGGUGAAGCCAGAGGAAACUCUGGUGGAGGCUCGUAGCGAUUCUGACGUGCAAAUCGAUCGUCAAAUUUGGGUAUAGGGGCGAAAGACU
rnacentral:rRNA from 1 species